GCCGCUAAUACAAACAAUGAUACAACUUUUAUAAAAUAACAAAGUUUCUAUUUCCUCCACGUUGCACGUAGUUUAACAAAAGGCAAUAGAAAACAAUAUGUUUAUACACCCGUAAAAAUUUUGACGAGACGUAAAAUGGUAUAAAAAUGCCCGCGUCCGUCUGUCCGUCGUAAAUAUGGUACAGCAUAUUAUCCUUAAACUGAACAUUGUUGUUUUUUCAGUCAUGAUGGUCAAACGAUCUGUAUCAUUUUUGGUGAACUUUAUGAGUUACAGGACUUUGUAACUAGAACGGUGUUUUUACAGUUCGCGCUGUAUCUAGAAAACGUUUUAUGACUAUUGCUCAAAAUUUUACACACUUCUUAGUUAUAUAAUUCUGAAGAAUUUGUAUAUACUUUUGAGAAUGAUUCAGAAUUUGAUUUUAGAGUUAUUGAGUUUAUGACAAAAAGGGGAUGGGGUUCACAUGUCGCGCUGUAUCUCAGAAACUAUCUAUAAUUAUUGCAUAAAACUUCACAUACUUUUUAGUUAAAUUAUUCUUAAGAUCUGUAUACUUUUUCGUGAUGAUUCUUUAAUUUAUUUUUGAGUUCUUGAAUUUUUAUUGAGCUUCAAUUUGGGGAUCAUAUAAAACAUGUUGUGAUAUAUAAACUUCCUAUUGAGCAAGAAUAAUGAAUGAGUCAGGAUAUACCUAGCAUGACUUCCCGUACAACCCCCGUGUUAUUUAAAAAACAUAUAUUAUGUUGUGGUUUUUUUUUUCAUAAGACGAAGGGCGUAUCAUGCGCUCGAAGCGCAGCUGUUUAUUUUUUUCUUUGUUUUUUUUAUAGAUAUAUUAGAGAAAUGACGGAGUGACAGAAAAUACAAUGCAAUUUUCAAUAUAAUUAAUAUUUCCAAAUGGCAUAACUCUUUUAAAGAAUAGUUGAUAUGCACUGAUUUUCGAACGUGUCCAUACGAUAUCAGUUUAAUAGAAA
rnacentral:lncRNA from 1 species